AGCAGCCGCGGUAAUUCCAGCUCCAAUAGCGUAUAUUAAAGUUGCUGCAGUUAAAAAGCUCGUAGUUGAAUUUCGGGACUGAUAUGUCGGUCGUGCCUCGGUACGUACUGGUAUUUUUGGUUUCUCCCUUCUGACGAACCUUGAUGUCAUUAAUUUGGUGUCUUGGGAAAAUCAGGACUGUUACUUUGAAAAAUUAGAGCGUUUAAAGCAGGCUCACGCUUGAAUACAUUAGCAUGGAAUAAUGAAAUAGGACGUUUGAUUCUAUUUUGUUGGUUUCUAGGAUUGACGUAAUGAUUAAUAGGGAUAGUUGGGGGCAUUAGUAUUCAAUUGUCAGAGGUAGAAAUUCUUGGAUUUAUUGAA
rnacentral:rRNA from 1 species